rnacentral:rRNA from 1 species
UACGGAGGGUGCGAGCGUUGUCCGGAAUCAUUGGGCGUAAAGGGCUCGUAGGCGGUUUGUCACGUCGGGCGUGAAAACUCGGGGCUUAACCCCGAGCCUGCUUCCGAUACGGGCAGACUAGAGGUAUGCAGGGGAGAACGGAAUUCCUGGUGUAGCGGUGAAAUGCGCAGAUAUCAGGAGGAACACCGGUGGCGAAGGCGGUUCUCUGGGCAUUACCUGACGCUGAGGAGCGAAAGUGUGGGGAGCGAACAGG